GCCAGGAUAGCACAAUUGGCGGUGCAGCUCCCUUGUAAGGAGAUGGUUGCAGGUUCGACCCCUGUUCCUGGCU
rnacentral:tRNA from 1 species